GAGCAAACAGGAUUAGAUACCCUGGUAGUCCACGCCGUAAACGAUGUCGACUUGGAGGUUGUGCCCUUGAGGCGUGGCUUCCGGAGCUAACGCGUUAAGUCGACCGCCUGGGGAGUACGGCCGCAAGGUUAAAACUCAAAUGAAUUGACGGGGGCCCGCACAAGCGGUGGAGCAUGUGGUUUAAUUCGAUGCAACGCGAAGAACCUUACCUGGCCUUGACAUCCACGGAAUUUGGCAGAGAUGCCUUAGUGCCUUCGGGAACCGUGAGACAGGUGCUGCAUGGCUGUCGUCAGCUCGUGUUGUGAAAUGUUGGGUUAAGUCCCGCAACGAGCGCAACCCUUAUCCUUUGUUGCCAGCACGUAAUGGUGGGAACUCAAAGGAGACUGCCGGUGAUAAACCGGAGGAAGGUGGGGAUGACGUCAAGUCAUCAUGGCCCUUACGGCCAGGGCUACACACGUGCUACAAUGGCGCAUACAAAGAGAAGCGACCUCGCGAGAGCAAGCGGACCUCAUAAAGUGCGUCGUAGUCCGGAUCGGAGUCUGCAACUCGACUCCGUGAAGUCGGAAUCGCUAGUAAUCGUAGAUCAGAAUGCUACGGGAAACU
rnacentral:rRNA from 1 species